UACGUAGGAGGCGAGCGUUGUCCGGAGUUACUGGGCGUAAAGGGUGCGCAGGCGGUGGCCCGCGUGGGCGGUGAAAGCUCCUGGCUCAACUGGGAGAGGGCCGUCCAGACGGGGUCACUUGAGGGGCGGAGAGGGGCGUGGAAUUCCGGGUGGAGCGGUGAAAUGCGUAGAGAUCCGGAGGAAGACCGGUGGCGAAGGCGGUCUGCUGGGCAGUUUCUGACACUGAGGCGCGACAGCGUGGGGAGCAAACAGG
rnacentral:rRNA from 1 species